GGGGCUGUAGCUCAGUGGCAGAGCACUCACCUAGCAUGUGUGAGGCACUGGGUUCGAUCCUUAGCACCA
rnacentral:tRNA from 1 species